rnacentral:rRNA from 1 species
UACAGAGGUCUCAAGCGUUGUUCGGAUUCAUUGGGCGUAAAGGGUGCGUAGGUGGCGCGGUAAGUCGGGUGUGAAAUUUCGGAGCUUAACUCCGAAACUGCAUUCGAUACUGCCGAGCUUGAGGACUGGAGAGGAGACUGGAAUUUACGGUGUAGCAGUGAAAUGCGUAGAUAUCGUAAGGAAGACCAGUGGCGAAGGCGGGUCACUGGCCCGGUACUGACGCUGAGGUGCGAAAGCGUGGGGAGCAAACAGG